GGCGCGCGGAGCGGGGGGGAUGGCAGGAGCCGACUGCAACCGCAGCGCCUUGCACUGCAAUCGCAGCCUGUAGGCGCUUCCUGUAGGGAGCGGCUCCAGCGGGGAGCCCAGCGCUGCCCCUUUCCCCGGGCGCUCCCCAGGCGGGAGCAAGCGGCGCCCUGCUGCCCUGUGCUCUUCCCUUCUGGGAUGCUGGCUGGAGCUGGGGGCACGCCGACCGGCCUCAGCCAGGAGUUCCCUGCGGCGUGCGGGGGAUAGGAGUAGCCGGGGCAGCGUUGGAGAGCAGCCCAACAGCAGUAGCGAAGGGAUAGAUCAAAUAAUGGGGAGGAAACUGGAUCUAUCUGGUUUGACAGAUGAUGAAGCAGAGCAUGUUCUUCAGGUGGUCCAACGAGAUUUCAGCCUUCGCAAGAAAGAAGAGGAGAGGCUGAGCGAAAUGAAGCAGAAACUUGACGAAGAGGGUAACAAGUGCAGCAUCCUUUCUAAGCAGCAGAAGUUUACUGAGCGCUGUUGCAUUCGCUGUUGCUCUCCUUUUACAUUUCUCAUCAAUAGCAAGCGUCAGUGCCAAGACUGCAAAUACAACAUCUGCAAGAACUGCAGCUCCUAUCAGAAGAAGGACAAGGCAUGGCUCUGCAAUGUCUGCCAGCAGGCUAGACUCCUGAGGACCCAGUCCCUGGAAUGGUAUUACAAUAAUGUGAAAAGUCGCUUCAAGCGUUUUGGUAGUGCCAAAGUCCUGAAGAAUUUAUACAGAAAACAUAGACUGGAGAGCGGCGUUUGUUCUGAAAUAAUAGAAGGAAGCUUUUUUGAAGGAAGCGUAGAAAAUGAAGGAAGCAUUUGUGGCAGUGACUCUACAUUCUACAGGCAGACAGAAGGACAUAGUAUGAUGGACACCCUAGCUGUGGCCUUACGUGUGGCAGAAGAAGCAGUAGAAGAAGCCAUUUCCAAGGCAGAGACAUAUGGUGAAAGCCUGGACAAACAGAACGAGGCUUGUUAUUUACGGGAACAUAAGGAGGAGCUGAUUGAAGAGCUUGCCACUACCAUAGUGCAGAAGAUUAUAAGAAAGCAAAAAGGUAAAGCUGAGCAGGCGGAGGCUGAUUUUGAUUGGCCACAGUCCAGAAGCAGCGGUCUGGCAUCUGUUGCUGUUUCAGAUCAGAGCAUGCUGACUUUUCCAGGCAGUCGCAGGGGAUCCUACACAUUGUGGAGGUCUCAGUCUGCAUUCUCACUGACUAGUGAAGAUACACCAAGCAAAGAUCUGGACCUGGUGUCUUCUAUGCCUGAGAUUCUCUGGAGGCAGCAGAAAGGCCUAGUCAGGAGACAGAGGGAACACAAACUGUCUGCGUUACCUAGCUGGAAAAGUGUGGACAGACUGAAUGAAACAAGUCCACCCCCUGUUUUACAAAGCACUGAUGGGAACUGGGUGGCUUUGCAGAGCAUUACAUUGCCUCGCCCUCGAAUGCUUGCCAAACCAAAGAGCCAAGUAUUCAAAGCUUUGGAGAACGAAUCUAGUGUUGUGUCUGCUUAUGACGAGAUGGGCUCGGAUAGCGAGGACGACUAUGACUGGAAUGUGGCCUUGAACAAGCUGCGUCGAAGGCCCAAGCAGUUGUCCGAGGAUUCUUAUUAUACCGAUUCCCAGUACAAUACUGAAUGGGCUUAUGGCAGUGAUCCAUACCAGCCAGUGACCUCUCCUUCAUCUGGGCUAUACACCAAUACAGAGACGGUGUACUCUGAUUCUGAAACAUCUUCAGUAAAUUCCUCAAGGGAGGCUAGAGAAUCUAGCAAGCUUCCCUGGCUACAAAGGAGAACUCAGAGUGACAAACCCAGAGUGGAAAAAGCACAUUUACAUGGAGAACUGGAUGUAAAUUUCAAUCCACAGGCUGACAGUUUAGAGUAUUCAGAUAGCAGUGAGACUGAGGAAGUCUAUUAUGAUUUAGAAAAGAGGUCUAGAAGGUGGAGAAAGAGCAAAAUUGUCUCCGAAGAAUUACGUGAAGGAAAAAAUCACACAAAAACCCACAAGAAGAAUUUGAGCAUAAAUCAGGUUUCUGAGGAUGUAUCGGAAGCUGAUAUAAGCAGUGAGGAUCAACACCAUAACAUCAAGACAGACCUUGUUGAGGAAAAGCUUAAAUCUGAGUUAUUUGAACUAGCUGCUAAAAUGAGUGACAAGGAAACCUCUUCUGGUGAAGAGCAGGAGUCCGUGCUUAGAACAGAAUCGGAGACCCAGAAGGAAAGUUUGUCCUCAGAAGAAAAUGGCAAAAACAUUCAGGAGGAGUUGAAGAAGGAAAAACAAAAGGCUUUUGAUCUCCAUUUAAAACUGCAGGUUUUAUCCUCAGUAUUACAGCAGAAGUACUCUGCUGUCUCUCUCUGCAACAUAUCUACAGAGGUCCUAAAAGUCAUCAAUGCCACAGAGGAACUGAUAGCAGAAUCCACCAGUCCCUGUGAUUUCCCAGCAGAUACUCAUGACAGAGGGAGAGGGGCAUUUCCACUAGGUACAGACCCUGUCAGACUCGAUGAGCAGCUCACCACCUUGGAAGAAAAUGUGUACCUGACAGCCGGCACUGUGUACGGCUUAGAGGGCCAGCUGAAUGAAUUAGAGGCUGCAGCACGCAAAAUCAACAGUGUUACAGCGGAAUCGGAACUAGCUGAGCUGGAGGAUCAGGUAGCCACAGCAGCAGCACAAGUUCAUCAUGCAGAGCUUCAGAUUUCAGAUAUCGAGAGCAGAAUUUCAGCUCUCAGUGUUGCAGGCUUGAACGUGGCUCCAUGUGUUCACCUGACAAGAAAAAGGGAUCAAAAGCAAAUGAACCAGAUGCAAACAAUAGACACAUCAAGACAGCAGAGGAGAAAGCUUCCAGCUCCACCGGUAAAAGGUGAAAAUAUUGAUGCUUCUCCAGUUACUACUGUUAGAACAUUUAACAGAAACUUUAUGCUCCAAGGAUCUCUAACACAAAGAACUAAAGAGAGAAAAAGUACUGCCAAGGACUUGAUGGUGGAGUAUAGGAGUAGACUGGACAGCGAUCAGCGGUCGAUUUGGCAGGUCUAGAGAAGACCCGCUAAAUCGACCACCGAUGCAUUGAUCGCCAUGUGUGGAACCCCCGGAACCAACUAUAGGAUCUGCUGUAAUGUACUAGACUUACAAAACUACUGCCAAUAACACACUGCCUAAGGCUGUACACUAUAGUGCCUUUAUUUAACAGCCAUUGUAUAUGUCCAAUAGAAACCGGACCCUCGAGAACCCACCAUGCCUCAGUAAUAGGGCUUUGUUUGGAUACCUCACUGAGAAAGCUGUCCAGCAUUGCGGUCUGCUAAUGGAAACUCUGCCUUAAAGUUCUCAUGAGACUCCAGAAAGGAUACUGAGUUUCAUAAGCAAGGCUCCAUGUUUUAAGAUGCACUCCCCCCCCCCACACCCCCAUUGAUUGUACUAAAGUAUAUUGUCUUUAAAAUACAAUAUGUUUUUGCAUACUUAAUUCAACGAUAACUGUUGGUCAAUAUUUCAUGUGAAGAGAAAGAUAAAAAACAAACCUGUGAUCCAUAUUUGCUGGCACGUUUGACGCUGAGUUCAGUGUUUGUAGAUCAGUCCCAAUGGCAUUUUCUAAAAGAUCCUCUGUAUGCUGAUAGAGCAACUUUGGCUGACUUAUUAUUCUGUCUCCAGACGUGGGCUGUGUGGAUGCUAAAGGAGCAGUUGACAUUUGCGAUAGGCUGGCACGUUCCACCGUAGCAUACUGUGGUGGGGGACACGCAUGUAUCAUGUCUACAAAAAGACCCAUUCUGAGUCAUUAUUUUGGCAUCUGAGGCAUCUGACAAACAUUGCAAAAUCAACACCUUGCUCCUCUAUGCUUAGAAGCAUAUUCCAUUUUAGGCAGUGUCCUAAAUAUUUGUUGCACACAGCAGGUGCAUCUCUGAAUGAAGCCCUAUCAAAUGUUUUAAGAUUACAAAAUUAGAAUAAAACAAUGCUAUGUGUUAGAUAUUGUUCAAAGAAAGUGCUUCCUGAAACAUAUUUUUCAACAUUAAGGGCUAGUUAUAAAAGGCCCUUAUACAGGUGCUAAGAGGGGGAAUAGCACACGAGGGGCAUCUCCCUUCCCCUCCCUUUCAUGAUGCAUGGAAGGGCCUUUCAGAAUUGCAGUCCCUUUGCUCUGAGGAGUGCUGGGACUGCUUUCCCCUGUAACCAAAAGGAAGCAGAGAGGAGAUGGGGCCAUGGCCCUUCCCCCCUUCCCUGCCGACCCACAGAGCAGGAUCAGUGCACAGAGGGUGCUGAGCUGUGCACCAUACAGGAGCGUAGCUGCAGACAAGCUCUCCCUGCGUCCCAAAGAGCUUCGGGACGCAGAAUGCCUCCUGAAGCUCCACCAGGGGUAGCACCUCUUUGUAUGGCCACCAGUGCUGGUCAUUACUUAAUGGGCAGUAUAGAACCCUAAGGAGCGAUUGGUCUAUUUAACCACAGAUGUUGAGAAAUAAAUUUUAAAAUGUGCAGUAAUUUAAAAGUUGGGGACAUUAAACAGCUUCUGAUGGAUUCAAGAAAUGAUGGCCAAAAUUUUCAGAUUUGGGUGCUUUAACUUAGGCACCUUGAUCUGCAUUUAGGCUAGCUAGAGAAGAGCAGCCUGGCUGUCAGAAAUGCUGAGGAUUCACAGCUCCCAUCGUCCACCUCAGUAACGGUGGGUGCCCAGCACUACUGAAAAUUGGGCACACAUUGGAGGUAGCCAUUUUGGUAGUUUGGGCCUGUAUAGCGAAGAGAUGGAAUCGUUUUGGUUUAGCAAGAUCUGGUCAGUAGGCUUGGAUUCUGCAUGACUAAAACUAAGGAGCAGUUCAGAUCCAGCUUCCAUUUUGUCCAAGCCCACCCAGACCCGGUCAGAGUAGCCAGAUAAAUGGUUCCAGUGUGAACUUCCCUCCUAAUUUGAAGUCUCCUUACCAGUGCAAUUGGAUCAUCCAAUUAUUUGAAAAGAAUUUGGUCCAAUUUUGAAGUAUAGGGCCAUAUCCCCUACUGGUAGAAAUCCCCAUAGUUCCACGGAUAUCAGUGGAACUAUGGUGAUUUACACCAGUUGAAGAUCUAGCCCAGGAUGGUCAUUCUGGGCUAAAUUAUGCGUUGUGUUAUUCUCAUGCAAUCCUCAUUGCCUUCAAUUUGUUCAAGUAUGAGGACAGAACUUGGUCCAGUGUGUUUAAAAAUAGUGUGUGUGUCCACACACCAUCUAGUGAAGGAGAUUAAACAGAGUAGGAUGCCUAAUACAUUUGUCAAUCUCCAUCUAGUAGACUGUUCUCCUGUGUGUGUAUAAUACAUUCCCAAAUAAUUGUUUAUGCAGGUAUGCGUGUCAUGAAACGUCACUAAUAGUGGUUGGUUUACAUAUUUGUCUAAUAAUACGCUAAUACUGUGUAUGUAAUAUCAAUUCAGAAAUGACUAAUUUUACUAGAUUAAUGGCUUUUGUUCUGUUAGUGUGAUUUAAAAAACAGACUUUGGAGUAGGAUGUUUUCCAUAAGAGGCAUGAAAAGCAACUACUGUUGUUACAAUGUUAAGUCUUCUUUGACAAAAAUGUGUAUUGUGUAGGUAUUGCAAAACAAAAAACAAAACAAACCCUGCCCCGCCCCGCUACAUGGUAUUUGCAUUUUUACAGAUUUACUUGUGCCAAAUAUGUGCAAAAAUUUAAUUUACUAUUUGAAAAAAAUCAUAAAAAACAUGUUAUAGCACACAAAGAAUUAUUUUGUCAUCAAGUGAUUUCAAUCUUUAGUGUUAAUAUUUAUAUUUAGAUUAAUUUUUAUAAAUGAAAAUAUUUUAAUGGUUAAAAAAAUUAAGACUAUAUAAUGAUCUAUUUGAUUAAGUCUGAGUGAAAGUAAAGCUUGCCUUGUUGUUGUUAUCUGCGUAUUCACCAGGAAUUAUUGUUAAGAGAAAUUAUAAGAGUAAAAGCAAUUUAUGAAAAAGAAUGCCUUUGCAGGGACCUGAUUCAUAAAGAAAAAGAAAAUAAAUCUCCUGUUGUUUGGAUUUCUGGGCACUUUACUCAGAAAAGGUGCAGACUGAACUGCCACACGUUUGAGUAGUGUGGUAGGUGCUCCACCCUGGCAGUAUAGGAACCUGCUGUACAUAAAUGGCCUCUUCUCCACUGGGUCUUUCACAGCUAUGCAGCUCAAAAAAGGACUGCGGUAUUCCAGUGUGUGAAAUGCACUAAUUUAGCCAGGGAGGGAUCGAGGCACACACACUUCCCUUCAGAUUGAUUUUAGAGGAAAAAGAAAAGAGCCCUUUAAGAAAUUUAUUACAUCCUUCUAAACCAUAUGCACACUGUGCUAAAUACAGUCCCUCGACUGGCAGAAUUCCCAUAAUGCAGGUUUAAGAGCUGGGUUGGGUAACCUCAGGCUUUGGUCCUCUCUAAAUACAUAGAGAGCAUCUUCAUUUCCUAUGUGUCCCUGUUCUAAUCUGUCCAAUGCAAGUUUCAUGGCAUGUGGCAGGUUCCUUGCAGGGAUCACAUUCACUUUUAUCUUUUUGCUCUACAUUCUUGCAAGUGAUAACAAAUGUCCCAAACCCCAGGCUCUAUCUUCCUCAUGAUUAAGAGAAUCACUUUCCUCGCCCAGCUGGAAUUGUGCAGGCUCAGGCUUUUACUGCUAUAGCUUGCACUUUUCCAUCUCUGGGCUGCGGGCAGCCUAGCAGUGAGUGCUUUGCAUUUGGCCUGUUCCUUUGAAAAAUGCUAUGGAAAUGUAGUCGCCCCCAGUGGUGCUCAUAUUCACAGUGCUGUGGAGAACAAGCCUUCCUUCAAGUGAGUAUUAAAUGGUCAGAUUAGGGCUGCAGCAUGCUUUCACAGAAAAGACGUGCAUGUCAAAAACUGCCUCAACCAGCUAUCUGGAGAUUUUCCUCACAGAAGCAGAAUCCCCUGACUGGCAUAGAGCCGGAGCAGCAGUUAUACAGUACACAUCUUCCGGCCCUUGGAAUAGGGGGCAUGGGUGCAGCAGUGCUGAGUUCCAGUCAACCUUGACCACCCGAAUGACUUACUGAGGGCCAGGAGCUAGUGCCACUCUCAAUUCUUCAGGCCUGGACCAGUGGCACAAUCUUGAGCAUCUGACCCAGUGUGUUCAUCUUGUGUGGGAGUCCCAGGCCAAGUUGGGGCUAGGUCUGAUAUACUGUUUGCCCUCCUCUAUUACAAAAUCUGUGUGAGCUGUUGAAUUUCCUCUCUGUAGUGGUACAGGAGCUACCAAGGCUGAUAGUAGAUUUAUUUUAACAGCCAAAUGGAUGAUGACCAUAGUAAGAACUCCAGAUAAUCCCAGCUGAUUUCCAGCUCAGUUUACAUAUCUGCCCACACUCAUGGUACAGGUAUCUUAGCUUGGGUUAGAGGUCAAGUAGUUGGCAACUAGACUAGCAUCAGGAACUGAACAUUUCCAUUAGCUCUUGCAUUGAGGUUGGGCCAUACCAACCUCAGUGACAUGAGGGAUCUAUUUUAAGGGUACACACCCUUGUAGGCUAAUGGAACUAGAGUGAUUCCAAAAGGCCAUUGGGAGGAGACAGUGUUCCUUUGACAGGCCACUGUGGCCAAGAUUUUAUAGGAUUGUGUAGGAAUUAUGUUUUUGAUUAAGCUAUGCAGGUGGUUUUGGUAUAAUGUGACAAAACACCAUAUUACCUAACAGCAUCCUAUCUUUCUUAAGGUAAGCAUGACAGAGGCUUCAUUGGUCGUGGUGGUAGAUUGUCUUUUUGUUAUUAUUCAAGCAAUUGCUGUGUCUAACAAGUCUGAAUGAUUGGCUUUAAAAACCUGGAGUAGUGCUGAGUUCAUAAGCUAUCCACAAACACUCGUAAAAAAGGUAACCACAAUAAUAUGUGACUUGGGUCACACCUCAUAUGAGCAACAAAUAGUGGAUAUGCAUAGCAAGCAUUCUACAAACAAGCCCAGGGCUCAAAUUCUUUCACACAAACUAUUUGUCAAAUAACUGAAAAAUGCCAUCAAGUCUGUAAAAAUAAAAUAGCCUAUUUUUCUGCCUCUGAA